CAGUAGCCGCGGGAAAACGAAGGGUGCAAGCGUUACUCGGAAUUACUGGGCGUAAAGCGUGUGUAGGUGGUUGUUUAAGUCUGUCGUGAAAGCCCUGGGCUCAACCUGGGAAUUGCGAUGGAUACUGGGCGACUAGAGUGCGGUAGAGGAUAGUGGAAUUUCCGGUGUAGCAGUGAAAUGCGUAGAGAUCGGAAGGAACAUCUGUGGCGAAGGCGACUAUCUGGGCCAACACUGACACUGAGACACGAAAGCGUGGGGAACAAACAGGAUUAGAUACCCGGGUAGUCCAUGUCUCUUAUAC
rnacentral:rRNA from 1 species